rnacentral:rRNA from 1 species
CCUACGGGAGGCAGCAGUGAGGAAUAUUGGUCAAUGGCCGUAAGGCUGAACCAGCCAAGUAGCGUGAGGGAAGACUGCCCUAUGGGUUGUAAACCUCUUUUAUGCGGGGACAAAGGUGUCCACGUGUGGCUGUUUGCAGGUACCGCAUGAAUAAGGACCGGCUAAUUCCGUGCCAGCAGCCGCGGUAAUACGGAAGGUCCGGGCGUUAUCCGGAUUUAUUGGGUUUAAAGGGAGGGUAGGCCGGUCUUGAAGCGUGCCGUGAAAUUUUGUGGCUCAACCAUGAGAGCGCGGCGCGAACUGGAGACCUUGAGUGCGCGGAAGGCAUGCGGAAUUCGUGGUGUAGCGGUGAAAUGCUUAGAUAUCACGAAGAACCCCGAUUGCGAAGGCAGCCUGCCGCAGCGUUACUGACGCUGAAGCUCGAAAGCGCGGGUAUCGAACAGGAUUAGAUACCCGGGUAGUC